AAAGAAAACUGUGGUUAUGAAGAAAUCUAUCCAAAAGGUUGGGAACAACCCCUCGAAUGAGAGUAGCCCUUCAAUUUUAUGACUACACAUAAAAUGAGGGAUCAAUUUCAUGUGAUAAAAGCUUUUCUUUUGUUGUAAAAACCCCUUCUUAGUACAAAAAGCCACAUCAGUAUUUUUCUUUUAAAGAAACUUUCCCUACGAACUAUACUGGUAUUAUAUAAUCAAAACAUGGCCAUUAAUUUUGUUAUAUUCCAGGACUUAUAUCUUCUUUAUUAUUAAAAGUAAAGU
rnacentral:lncRNA from 1 species